UGGGUUUGGGUAGGCUUUGGAGUUGGUGAAGGACAGGGAGGUCUGGCGUGCUGCAGUUCAUGGGGUCACAAAGAGUCAGACACGACUGAGCGGCUGAGCGACUGAACUGAACUGAACUGAUUCCUUGUGUCUUUUUUACACCUUAAUUCACUGGAAGACAUCCCUCCCACCAAGUUGAGGAUAUUGGAACUUGCUACCCAGAUAUUUAAUUACCUGAGGGACACGACUCCAGUUAUUCUUCUAAGAACAGGAAGGAUCAUCUAAAGUGAAGAGGAGGAAAAGGAAAUCAAAUAAGAAGACACAGAGGAGAAGGGAAGGCAAGCUUCUUCAUUGUAGCUCUCCAGCAUGGUGGACUUAAGAUUCUGCUCUGUGCCACAGGAGGCUGACCUGCUUGGACUUUAUCAGCAGGUUUCCUUUUCAUCUGGUCACAGUCAUGAGAAACACAGGCCACAGAGAAUUCUCCACAGAGAGAAAGUUUUAGAAACAAGUUGACUUGAUUUAAGUCAGAAUUCUUCAUUUCAAAUGAAGGAAGCAGAUUCUGGCUGAUUCACCAGAAGCGUUUUUUAAUGUAGACAUUAGGAGCUCACAGAUUCACUGGGAAAAGAACAAAGCUCAACACUAAGCUUCCAAGAAUAUACUCCAAACUGCAGGAAAGAUAUGAAGUGAAAUGCUGUGCUAUUCUUGUAACUUAAUGGAAGGCUUAAUUUUUUUUUCAAAACAGAAAGGUUUUUUUUUUUUUUUAAAUUUUUUUAAGCUGCUGGGAAAUUUCAGAAAAUAGGAUAAUAUGCUAAUGUACCCUUGACUGCCUCUCAUCAAUACAUGUGUCUGUGUGUGUUCAGUCGCUCAGUGGUAUCUGACUCUUUGCGACCCCAUGGGCUAUAGCCUGCCAGGCUUCUCUGUUCAAAGGAUUCUCCAGGCAAGAAU